UACGUAGGGGGUGAGCGUUGUUCGGAAUUACUGGGCGUAAAGCGCACGUAGGCGGACUGUUAAGUCAGGGGUGAAAUCCCGGGGCUCAACCCCGGAACUGCACUUGAUACUGGUAGUCUUGAGUUCGAGAGAGGUGAGUGGAAUUCCGAGUGUAGAGGUGAAAUUCGUAGAUAUUGGGAGGAACACCAGUGGCGAAGGCGGUUCACUGGCUCGAUACUGACGCUGAGGUGCGAAAGCGUGGGGAGCAAACAGG
rnacentral:misc_RNA from 1 species